rnacentral:ncRNA from 1 species
GUACAGGUUUCGCCAUGAGCGAAUGAAAAGGAAACCGGGUGUGAAUCCCGGGCGGACCCGCCACUGUGUAGGGGAGCAGCAGCCGAGAAUUUUGUUCACCCACUCGUUUUUUUACGGGGAAGGGGGUUGUUGCAAAGAACCAAGCCAGGAUAUCUGCCUGUAUUUGU